CCUGUUGUACGACCAGCAGUAGCCUAGAAGAACAUGCGUCACUGGUAACGGUGGGGUCUGAAGCUUCUUCGACAAUGCGUCCCCCGGAAGCACGGGCGGUAGGCUGUUGUGAAACGAUCUACCGGAGACUCCCAGCAGCAAGGGGGUUGAGGGG
rnacentral:ncRNA from 1 species